UCGCUUAGUAAUAACCCACACUGGGUACAUAAUUAACAUCAAUCAAAAAAAAAAAAACAUCACAUUAAAUAAAAAAUAAUAUAAAAUCCUCUGCAG